UACGGAGGGAGCUAGCGUUGUUCGGAAUUACUGGGCGUAAAGCGCGCGUAGGCGGCUUUGUAAGUUAGAGGUGAAAGCCCGGGGCUCAACCCCGGAACAGCCUUUAAGACUGCAUCGCUAGAAUCCGGGAGAGGUGAGUGGAAUUCCGAGUGUAGAGGUGAAAUUCGUAGAUAUUCGGAAGAACACCAGUGGCGAAGGCGGCUCACUGGACCGGUAUUGACGCUGAGGUGCGAAAGCGUGGGGAGCAAACAGGG
rnacentral:rRNA from 1 species